rnacentral:rRNA from 1 species
AACCUUUACACUGCACGACAGUGCGAUACGGGGACACCGAGUGCGAGGGCAUAGAGCCCUCGCUUUUCUGAACCCUAAGGUGGUCCAGGAACAAGGGCUGGGCAAGACCGGUGCCAGCCGCCGCGGUAACACCGGCAGCCCAAGUGAUGGCCGAUUUUAUUGGGCCUAAAGCGUCCGUAGCUGGCCGCGCAAGUUCGUCGGGAAAUCCACGCGCUUAACGUGUGGGCGUCCGGCGAAAACUGUGCGGCUUGGGACCGGAAGAUCCGAGGGGUACGUCCGGGGUAGGAGUGAAAUCCCGUAAUCCUGGACGGACCACCGAUGGCGAAAGCACCUCGGAAGGACGGAUCCGACAGUGAGGGACGAAAGCUAGGGUCUCGAACCGGAUUAGAUACCCGGGUAGUCCUAGCCGUAAACGAUGCUCGCUAGGUGUGGCGCAGGCUACGAGCCUGCGCUGUGCCGUAGGGAAGCCGUGAAGCGAGCCGCCUGGGAAGUACGUCUGCAAGGAUGAAACUUAA